AGAACGAACGCUGGCGGCAUGCCUAAUACAUGCAAGUCGAACGAACUCUUCGGAGUUAGUGGCGCACGGGUGCGUAACGCGUGGGAAUCUGCCCCUUGGUUCGGAAUAACAGUUGGAAACGACUGCUAAUACCGGAUGAUGACGAAAGUCCAAAGAUUUAUCGCCAAGGGAUGAGCCCGCGUAGGAUUAGCUAGUUGGAGAGGUAAAGGCUCACCAAGGCAACGAUCCUUAGCUGGUCUGAGAGGAUGAUCAGCCACACUGGGACUGAGACACGGCCCAGACUCCUACGGGAGGCAGCAGUAGGGAAUAUUGGACAAUGGGACGAAAGCCUGAUCCAGCAAUGCCGCGUGAGUGAUGAAGGCCUUAGGUUGUAAACUGCUUUUGACGGAACGAAACGGUCUAGCUUUAAUACGAGUUGGCUAAGUGACGGUACCGUAAGAAUAAGCACCGGCUAACUACGUGACCAGCAGCCG
rnacentral:rRNA from 1 species